UUAAAACUAAGCUAUAACGAAGUUAUGGCGAAAAUUUGUAAAAGAUGAACGUGAAAUAGAAAGUAUCCAAAUGAACUCGAACGUGUAGGGUUUCAUAAGAAUGUAAGAGAAUGUAGAAAACAUGAGUCGUGGACUCAAGAACGAAUGAGUUCCAAGUUCAGAUGGCUGAAUUACGGAUGAACGAACGAAGAACGUUAAAAACGUAAAAAUGAACGAAGGGGGAAUAUUAACCCAAUUGAAUGACAUGUUAAC
rnacentral:lncRNA from 1 species